rnacentral:rRNA from 1 species
UAUAACUGGAGGAAGGUGGGGAUGACGUCAAGUCAUCAUGGCCCUUACGAGUAGGGCUACACACGUGCUACAAUGGCAGAUACAAAGAGAAGCGACCUCGCGAGAGCAAGCGGAACUCAUAAAGUCUGUCGUAGUCCGGAUUGGAGUCUGCAACUCGACUCCAUGAAGUCGGAAUCGCUAGUAAUCGUAGAUCAGAAUGCUACGGUGAAUACGUUCCCGGGCCUUGUACACACCGCCCGUCACACCAUGGGAGUGGGUUGCAAAAGAAGUAGGUAGCUUAACCUUCGGGAGGGCGCUUACCACUUUGUGAUUCAUGACUGGGGUGAAGUCGAAGCCAAUGG